GCGCUCGGUUCUACGCCGAGUUGUUUGCCUGCCUGCCCUUCCUUUUGCCUUCCGUCGCUUUUCUUCCCUCCACCACCCUCAGCCGUCGCCGCCGACGCCACCCCUGGAGUCCAGACAGGUCAGCGGAAGUGACGUCAUGGCAAGACCGGUUUCCUUGGAAACAGAGACGCCGUCUGCGCCCUUCCUAAAGGGGAGGGGUCUGGGGUUUCCGGAGAAGCUUCCUAUUCGCACCUGGAAACCAGAGGCGCGUUUGGGGCUCGCCCAAAGGCGAGCGUCGGAGAUGUGCCUGGGACGGAUCUGGCUAUGGCGCCGGUCGCCUCCCGCUCUCGCUUUCAGAGAGUUGGGGUUGUCAGCUGGUUAGUCAAGGCGGAUGCGGGGAAAGGGUAGAGGGACGCAGGGACCAGCCUCGGUGUAUGCCCGGCCAGCACCCCCGCAGCCCGAAGUAUCGGGGUAAGAAAGGAAAUGGCUAACUCCAGCCGCACUCGCCCUGCGGCUUCCCUGCGCAAAGCGCGACGUUGACUCCCACAGGCCUCCCGUUCCUAAACCGACUCCUGUUUUUCUCGCCCAGCUGCAGGGAGGAUUGUGUGACACGGUCGUAAAAUGCUCAGUAACGUUUUGCAGUUGGGAAAUUGAACACGCAGAUGAACAUGGGCUCGUUCAUAAAGUCUAAACUGUUUAAAUUAAUUUUUUAAAAAAGACUCUUCUCAACAGA